rnacentral:rRNA from 1 species
GAUGAACGCUGGCGGCGUGCCUAAUACAUGCAAGUCGAGCGAACGGACGAGAAGCUUGCUUCUUUGAUGUUAGCGGCGGACGGGUGAGUAACACGUGGAUAACCUACCUAUAAGACUGGGAUAACUUCGGGAAACCGGAGCUAAUACCGGAUAAUAUUAUGAACCGCAUGGUUCAAAAGUGAAAGACGGUCUUGCUGUCACUUAUAGAUGGAUCCGCGCUGCAUUAGCUAGUUGGUAAGGUAACGGCUUACCAAGGCAACGAUGCAUAGCCGACCUGAGAGGGUGAUCGGCCACACUGGAACUGAGACACGGUCCAGACUCCUACGGGAGGCAGCAGUAGGGAAUCUUCCGCAAUGGGCGAAAGCCUGACGGAGCAACGCCGCGUGAGUGAUGAAGGUCUUCGGAUCGUAAAACUCUGUUAUUAGGGAAGAACAUAUGUGUAAGUAACUGUGCACAUCUUGACGGUACCUAAUCAGAAAGCCACGGCUAACUACGUG